UAUUGGUCAAUGGGCGAGAGCCUGAACCAGCCAAGUCGCGUGAGGGACGACUGCCCUAUGGGUUGUAAACCUCUUUUGUAUGGGGGGAAUAAGUUCUACGAGUAGAGUGAUGACAGUACCAUACGAAUAAGCAGCGGCUCACCACGUGCAAGCAGCCGCGGUAAUACGGAGGAUGCGAGCGUUAUCCGGAUUUAUUGGGUUUAAAGGGUGCGUAGGCGGCAUUAUAAGUUAGUGGUAAAAUAUUGGGGCUUCACCUCACUACGCCAUUAAUACUGUAGAGCUAGAGAACAGACGAGGUAGGCGGAAUAAGUUAAGUAGCGGUGAAAUGCAUAGAUAUAACUUAGAACACCGAUAGCGAAGGCAGCUUACCAGACUGAGUCUGACGCUGAUGCACGAGAGCAUGGGUAGCGAACAGG
rnacentral:rRNA from 1 species